rnacentral:lncRNA from 1 species
GAAGGAAGUCCUAAGAACUAAGUAGUCUUCUAGAAAGUGGAUUCUCCUAUCUUACAAAAUUAUAUGUUUCGCGUUGAAUCGGUAAUAUUGCUGGUAAUAAUCAACAGAAUGUCAAAAUCUGGGAAUACGAUUUUCUUUGCUAUAUUUAAAAAAUGGCAAGUAUAUUUUGGUAUACUUCCGAGGGUCAGACGGUAUUUCUAAUCGAUAAAGCCGCUGUCACACUGCGCCAUAAAUCACAAACUUUCAGCUUUAUUGUAAACAUCGGAACAAAAAUGAUAGCCAUAAGAAACCUAAAGAAAAGAAUAAACGAGCAUGGCGGAUAGAGCAGAAUUUCAAUUGCACUACGAGUUCAAUGCGGAAGGAAGCAGACAUCAUGCUAAAUAUUAUCUCUCACAUGCGGUUUGUUACAUUAUUUGGAUAAUCAUUUUGCAAAUGUAAUCAAUUUAUUGUGUUUCUAGAACUUUAGUCUUGUUCAGGCAGCCGAUGUACGACACAUCCAUUGCCCACGUUGUUACUGGCGAGAUCUACUCCGUAGCACCAAGUCGGAAAGUACUGAAGAGCUGAAGCGUGACGUGCUUCAUCAUAGGUGCCUUGGAGGAUUUGCCUAGGGAUGUCUUCUGCGAUGUUGUCACGGUCAAAAUAGGUGGUUGGCGAUUUCUGCUCCCAGGUGGUAGAGUUGAAAGUCACGCAAAUGAGUGACCAGUCGGAAACUAUGGAACGCGAAAGUAGAUGAUCGACUGUCGCUGCUGUUCCCCCCGGCAAGAGUUUUCAAAUUUUGGCAGUGACAGCCACAACCAACAAUGACGGCCAUUAUGGUCCCAAUGUGCGGCUUGAAGAGUCAGAGGAGAGUGACAAUAUAUACAGAUAUAUGUAUUCGGCGAGGCAAAGGACGAUUGUGUACCAGAUAGGAAUAUACAGACGAGCAUUGAUUAGGCGCGACACGCAGAGAAUGUGAGUAUAUCAGCGGUACGCAUCUUUAAAUGUAUUUAAUGAUCAAUCUUGUGUGUUUUCUUCCUCCACAGUUGGCCAAUGAAGAGGCUGACAGCAAUGUCUACAAAUAUCCCCUGAACAUCGGCGCCUAUUGGCUGCAAAGUUGUCUGAGCAAGAUUUAAAAGAACAUCAUAGUGUCGCUGUCUGCCGAUGUACUCAAGAUCCACAAAAAUGAUUGCCAGCUCGCAGACAGCGACCCAGAACAAAAUCAAGGAUUCGUAUUAGCGACAUGUGUCGGAAUUUGGUGUGGUGUCAAGCGAUGCAGUGAGACGGUAAGGUGUGUAUUGACUGUUCCAGCAGCUCUUCUUUUUAUAAACUUCUUGUUUUGUGUUUUUCAGAAAAUCGUAUCCGUUUUCGUGUUCAUAGAGCUGAAGGAUGAGGAUCGCACGCUUCUAUUGCCGCUUUCCUACACGCAGAUGGCCGAUGGGGCCCAUUGAACUCAGCUAUGUGGGGAUCCAGCUGAAGCGUGAAUGUCUCCAGUUAAUCCAACUUUUUGUACUGCGAAAGAUCAAGGAAGGCCGGCGUGUCGAUGUUCCCGGCAACCAAGACUAUACCUUGUCCAACAUAAGCGACUCCUACGUGGGCUGCGAUCAGGAGUAGAAGGACUACAAGGAUCAGGAGUCGAAGUGGCCGAUUUCCAAUCUGACAAUCAGACCGAGUCGGAUUAGGGCGUACGUUAAGAUUAGUAUACAUAACAAAUCCUACCCUAAUAAAACAUGUAGCAUACUCUUGGGGCUACCCGAUAAUACCAUCAAUAUUUUAGACCAUCUUUUGGGAACUGGUUUGAUUCAAGGUGGUUAAAAUUGCUUUAAACCGCCAUCUCCUGCAGUCCUUAAGGUCCUUGAUGGAUUCAAAUGAUAGAGGACAUUGCCCAAAUCAGAAGAAGGUGUGGCUUAUCCUGAUCCGACAAG